rnacentral:rRNA from 1 species
CCUACGGGAGGCUGCAGUCGAGAAUCAUUCACAAUGGGGGAAACCCUGAUGGUGCGACGCCGCGUGGGGGAAUGAAGGUCUUCGGAUUGUAAACCCCUGUCAUGUGGGAGCAAAUUAAAAAGAUAGUACCACAAGAGGAAGAGACGGCUAACUCUGUGCCAGCAGCCGCGGUAAUACAGAGGUCUCAAGCGUUGUUCGGAAUCACUGGGCGUAAAGCGUGCGUAGGCGGUUUGUUAAGUCGGCGGUAAAAGCCCGGGGCUCAACCCCGGCGAGCCGUUGAAACUGGCUGUCUUGAGAUGUCGAGAGGGAUGCGGAAUGCGCGGUGUAGCGGUGAAAUGCGUAGAUAUCGCGCAGAACUCCGAUUGCGAAGGCAGGAUACCGGCGGCGAUCUGACGCUGAGGCACGAAAGCGAGGGUAGCGAACGGGAUUAGAUACCCCGGUAGUC